UGCCAAGGAUCGAGCUGGUGGUGGCUCCAGC
rnacentral:piRNA from 1 species